UACGUAGGGGGCGAGCGUUAUCCGGAUUUACUGGGUGUAAAGGGAGCGUAGACGGCGUCGCAAGUCUGAAGUGAAAGCCCGUGGCUCAACCGCGGAACCGCUUUGGAAACUGCCAUGCUAGAGUGCUGGAGAGGUAAGUGGAAUUCCUAGUGUAGCGGUGAAAUGCGUAGAUAUUAGGAGGAACACCAGUGGCGAAGGCGGCUUGCUGGACUGUAAAUGACGCUGAGGCUCGAAAGCGUGGGGAGCAAACAGG
rnacentral:rRNA from 1 species